ensembl:misc_RNA Metazoa_SRP Metazoan signal recognition particle RNA
GCCGGGCAUGGUGGUGGGUGCCUGUAAUCUCAGCUACUCGGGAGGUUGAGGCAGGAGAAUCACUUGAACCCAGGAGGUAGAGGUUGCAGUGAGCCAAGAUCGUGCCACUGCACCCCAGCCUGGGUAACAGAGUGAGACCCUGUCUCAA